rnacentral:rRNA from 1 species
UCUGGUUGAUUCUGCCAGUAGUCAUAUGCUUGUCUCAAAGAUUAAGCCAUGCAUGUCUAAGUAUAAGCAAUUAUACAGCGAAACUGCGAAUGGCUCAUUAUAUAAGUUAUCGUUUAUUUGAUAGCACCUUACUACUUGGAUAACCGUGGUAAUUCUAGAGCUAAUACAUGCUAAAAAUCCCGACUUCGGAAGGGAUGUAUUUAUUAGAUUAAAAACCAAUGCCUUCGGGCUUUCUGGUGAUUCAUGAUAACUUCUCGAAUCGCAUGGCCUUGCGCCGGCGAUGGUUCAUUCAAAUUUCUUCCCUAUCAACUUUCGAUGCGAAGGUCUUGUCUUCGCAUGGUUACAACGGGUAACGGAGGGUUAGGGCUCGACCCCGGAGAGGGAGCCUGAGAAAUGGCUACCACUUUUAAGGAAGGCAGCAGGCGCGCAAAUUACCCAAUCCCGACACGGGGAGGUAGUGACAAUAAAUACUGAUACAGGGCUCUUAUGGGUCUUGUAAUCGGAAUGAGUACAAUUUAAAUCCCUUAACGAGGAACAAUUGGAGGGCAAGUCUGGUGCCAGCAGCCGCGGUAAUUCCAGCUCCAAUAGCGUAUAUUAAAGUUGUUGUGGUUAAAAAGCUCGUAGUUGAACCUUGGGCCUGGCUGGCCGGUCCCCCUCACCGGGUGCACUGGUUCCGGCCGGGUCUUUCCCUCUGUGGAACCGCAUGCCCUUCACUGGGUGUGUCGGGGAAACAGGACUUUUACUUUGAAAAAAUUAGAGUGCUCCAGGCAGGCCUAUGCUCGAAUAGUACAGCAUGGAAUAAUAGAAUAGGACGUGUGGUUCUAUUUUGUUGGUUUCUAGGACCGCCGUAAUGAUUAAUAGGGACAGUCGGGGGCAUCAGUAUUCAGCUGUCAGAGGUGAAAUUCUUGGAUCUGCUGAAGACUAACUACUGCGAAAGCAUUUGCCAAGGAUGUUUUCAUUGAUAAGGAACGAAAGUUAGGGGAUCGAAGACGAUCAGAUACCGUCGUAGUCUUAACCAUAAACUAUGCCGACUAGGGAUCGGACGAUGUUAUUUUUUUUUGACUCGUUCGGCACCUUUCGAGAAAUCAAAGUGCUUGGGCUCCAGGGGGAGUAUGGUCGCAAGGCUGAAACUUAAAGAAAUU